rnacentral:rRNA from 1 species
UACGAAGGGGGCUAGCGUUGCUCGGAAUCACUGGGCGUAAAGCGCACGCAGGCGGAUCGUUAGGUCAGGGGUGAAAUGCCGAGGCUCAACCUCGGAACUGCCUUUGAUACUGGCGAUCUUAGAGUCCGGGAGAGGUGAGUGGAACUCCGAGUGUAGAGGUGAAAUUCGUAGAUAUUCGGAAGAACACCAGUGGCGAAGGCGGCUCACUGGCCCGGUACUGACGCUCAGGUGCGAAAGCGUGGGGAGCAAACAGGG